CAUCCGCAAAAUUGAGCUUCAAUCUUUCCCUUUUAAGUCGAAGCACAAAGCCGAAAGGGGGAUCCCAAGAAUGGGGGUGUUUGGGAACGGCUGCAAAAAAAUUCAGAAGGGUUUGGAGCUGAGAGAGUUCUGGAAGCUGAAGGGUCUGUGUGCUUUGCAGAAACAAAAAUGACGGAAGACGAGGGCGGCAUAAAUGAUAAACCAUAAACCAAACGCCCCCCAUUCCCCCAUUUCCACAAAAGCAGAGAGGAACAGUGAUGACCCUGCAAGAGACCCGGGGAAGAAGAAGUCACUCAAAGCAAAUGUCACGGAUUCGGAAUCCCCAGAAAUGGGGUUUUCCACGAAAGAAAGGAAAUUCUGAAAAUUCCAAUUCGCUCAGCUAGCAUUGUAAUUCGUGCGCCUUCCGGGGCCUGAUUGAUGUAUGGGUUGGUAGGGAUUUUCUUUAUUUCUCAUCCUCCUACAAGUAAGUCAGUACAAGUUUCAAACUCCUCAUCGACAACACAAAGUCCAUAUCUUUGUCACAAGGGGAACACACCCGAGGCUGGGUAAUGAGUAAUGACCUUUCUUUUCACCCUUUUUUGUUCUUUAACUGUUUGCUUGGAAGCAGUUUAGUUCUGUCUCUCGCCAAUUACUCUCUACUCAUUUUCAGUAAGUUUGUUUCAUGAGAAAUGUAUAUGUUCACAUAAACAAAAUUUGCCAUUGUCCUGAGUAGAUUAGAGUAAGUUUAGAUACCUGAAUUUUGUGACCAAAUGGUGGGUCAGGAUAAGCAUCUCCAGCUUGGCUAGCUCGUUUCCAGGGCAGGCGUGAACUCCAUUCCCAAAUGGCAUAAAUGUAUUGGGUUUUGGUGCAACCUAUUAUAUAUGUACCCAUUUACAUAUUUAUAUAUAAGCCCCAUUAUUAUAUCAA